rnacentral:rRNA from 1 species
CCCUUAGAUGUUCUGGGCCGCACGCGCGCUACACUGACGAAUGCAACGAGCUUAUAACCUUGGCCGAAAGGUCUGGGUAAUCUCCAAAUUUCGUCGUGAUGGGGAUAGAUUAUUGCAAUUAUUAAUCUUCAACGAGGAAUGCCUAGUAAGCGCAAGUCAUCAGCUUGCGUUGAUUACGUCCCUGCCCUUUGUACACACCGCCCGUCGCUCCUACCGAUUGGAUGGUCCGGUGAAGCCUCGGGAUUGUGGUUCUUGCCGCUUUAUUGUGGCGUGACCGCGAGAACUUGUCUAAACCUUAUCAUCUAGAGGAAGGUGAAGUCGUAACA